UCUGGAAGACAUUUUGUUUAAUGUGCAUUAAAAAUCUGCAAAACCUAGUCAGUGACAUUAUGUUUGUCAUUUAUUCCAUCCAUUUGGAUAGUAACUGAUGAGCCUGGAGUUGGAAGACCCUGUCCAGCUGUCAUGGUCCAGGAUAAAGCCAUUUACAGAGGGAGGACGGUGUGGUGGUUAGAGAGAAAAUGGCCCCCAAAGGGAGUGGCACUGUUAGGAGGUGUGGCCUUGUUGGAGUAGGCGUGGCCUUGUUAGAGGAAGUGUGUCACUGUGGGGGUGGGGUUUGAGGUCUCAUAUGCGUUCAAGGCACACCCAGUGAGACAGACCACUUCCUGUUGCCUACAGUCAAGAUGUAGGGCCCUCAACUCCCUGUCCAGCACCAUAUCUGCCUGCUCGGUCGCCAUGGCCCACCAUGAUGACAAUGGCCUGAACCUAUGUCUGAAGACCUUUGUGAUACUCCAGGGGCCCAGAAGAGCCAAAAAGACUUCUCAGUGAGAGUGAACCUCCCACCAAGGGACGAGAAGCCGGAGAGGCUGGUACAAGUGAUGUAUCUGCCUCCAGCACAGUCUUCAAGGCGCUCGGGCGGAGCCGGAUGGAUGGCAGAGCUGAGACCCAAGGACUAAGAUUCCUGUCUCUGGCGGGCCGGGCCGUGUGUCUGGCUUUGGUGUUUUUCCUUUUACCACUUAAAGAAAUUAUUUACUAUUUA